rnacentral:rRNA from 1 species
GAUGAACGCUAGCGGCAGGCCUAACACAUGCAAGUCGAGGGGCAGCACAGGUAGCAAUACUGGGUGGCGACCGGCGCACGGGUGAGUAACGCGUAUGCAACCUGCCCGCCACAGGGGGAUAGCCCGCCGAAAGGCGGAUUAAUACCCCAUCGCCCCGUAGUCCGACAUCGGACCACGGGUAAAGGAGCGAUCCGGUGGCGGAUGGGCAUGCGUGCCAUUAGCUAGUUGGCGGGGUAACGGCCCACCAAGGCGACGAUGGCUAGGGGGUCUGAGAGGAUGGUCCCCCACACUGGUACUGAGACACGGACCAGACUCCUACGGGAGGCAGCAGUGAGGAAUAUUGGUCAAUGGGCGGAAGCCUGAACCAGCCAUGCCGCGUGCAGGAAGACGGCCCUACGGGUUGUAAACUGCUUUUCCAGAGGAAUAAAAUUUCGUACGUGUACGGAACUGAAGGUACCCUGGGAAUAAGCAUCGGCUAACUCCGUGCCAGCCGCCGCAGUAAUAC